rnacentral:rRNA from 1 species
GGCGAACGGGUGAGUAACGCGUGAGGAACCUGCCUCAAAGAGGGGGACAACAGUUGGAACGACUGCUAAUACCGCAUAAGCCCACGGGUCGGCAUCGACCAGAGGGAAAGGAGCAAUCCGCUUUGAGAUGGCCUCGCGUCCGAUUAGCUAGUUGGUGAGGUAAUGGCCCACCAAGGCAACGAUCGGUAGCCGGACUGAGAGGUUGAACGGCCACAUUGGGACUGAGACACGGCCCAGACUCCUACGGGAGGCAGCAUG